UGGUCAAGUCAACUGUCCAUAAUUUCAAACCAAUAGGAGCAAAGAAAAGUUGUCCACUUGAACAGCAAGAAAGAUUUGAUCCAUGUUAAAAGACGUCCAUUCAGCCCGUCUGCUGUAUUGACACCUUGAAUGGACAAUGCUUUCACAGGCGACACGUUAGAGGAGUGCUUAUCCUACGCAGUGAGGAAUUAUUCACAUUUGUGAUUCUUCAUUACGAAGGGUCUCAAAUGGCUGCCGCCCCCUGACAUCGGAUUGCUCCCUGGCCCUCCAGGUGCUCCCGCAGAUGACUGACAUGUAACGGCACACCGGAUCACUCCUGUAAUUGUGCAGGGGUGUCACUUAUACCGAAGCAGGAUAAAUGUCCCCCUGGUGGUCUGCAUAUAAAAGGUGUAUCCCACAACCACGUGACCACGCGUCUUCUUCAGUCACACGAACUUCCAAAAUGCCUUAAUGUUUGCUGCAGUAACGUGACGAAAUUGUCAUCGCAUUUAAAACCUUUGCAAAGGACAGCAGCUUAGUGAGACUCCAAAUGUUGAAAAAUGUUGAAAAAUCCAGAAAAAUACGCAAUGGAUCGUAGGGGUACACUAUGUCCUGCAAACAACUCGACCCGGCCACCUUACAUGUCAUCAUGUUCCACUGUAAACUCAAUGUGAUACGAGCUCCAAAGGCAUCUUUUGAUGCCAAUAUUAUCCUCAAUGUCAGUGCAGCUCUCCCGUCAGCCCGGCCCUAAUACACAGUGACAGGAGCCCCGCGGUGAGGACCCCACUCUGUCGUCUGAUCAGGCAACCAGAUGGACAGCUCAGCAGCAAGAGGGGACCUGAUAUCAGUGUCAGCAAUCAGAUCUCACCCGCUGAGAACUCGUGUGUGUGCGCGAGGUGGCGUGGGAGAGAGAAUACACAGUGCGAAGUGAUUGUUGGGAGCAUAUGUGCUGACGGCAGCCGGAGUGUGUGUUGAAAUGAAGAUUAAUGAAUAAGGUCCCGGUAAAGUGUGUGUGCAGAUGAAGUCGGAGGGUCAACGGACGCUUCGAACUGCGCACAGAUUUAAACUUGAGUGUGCACAUGAUGUGUAGGUGGCAGUUUGUAAAAGUGUGUGCCUGGUUAAAUUGUAUCUUUUGACUUUUCACCACUUCUUGUCCCACAGCUGCGAGGUGCAGACUGACCUGAGAGAGGCUCACAAAGCUCCCCUAUAACGGCACAACUCAACAAGUCAAAGGAGUUUCUCUUCAGAUAAAUUAUUAUUAUUAUUUAAAAGCUACAAAAGGAUUUUUUUUGUUUGUUCUCAUUUUGAAAAUUGUAAAUUUUUCUGCUGACUCAUUUCAUAAAAAGAAAAACAACAUUGUCUGUCUUCGGUUAAAAAAUAAUCAGGGUUAAUUUAACUUGAACACAAACCCCAGAAACAAUGACUCACAUAACAAAAAAACAUAUAAAAACGCUUAAAAAGAUUGCUUUCAAGCCAUUUUUUGUUGUUUUUUUUUGCACUACAUCUGCCAGAAGAUGAUGUUUCUGUACAAACAAUGAACACGAGUCAUUCCUGAGGGGAACAGAGUCUCCGUCCGAACCGAAUGAAGUGGUCAUUUGUUCAAUGUCAGCUGAUAAAAACCCCCUGGCUGUCAUCGGGAAAAUAUGCCCCAGAUAUUCCCUUCCGAAAUCACUGAUGAUAAUUAACUAAUGCUUGUGAUGUGAGGUUAGUAAGUCUCCAAAGGACAAUAAACUUCACAAUG